GUAGGGAAUAUUGGUCAAUGGAUGGAAGUCUGAACCAGCCAUGCCGCGUGCAGGAAGAAGGCCUUCUGGGUUGUAAACUGCUUUUGCCAGGGGAUAAAAAGACCGUGCGCGGUUAAUUGAAGGUACCUGGUGAAUAAGCCACGGCUAACUACGUGCCAGCAGCCGCGGUAAUACGUAGGUGGCAAGCGUUGUCCGGAUUUAUUGGGUUUAAAGGGUGCGUAGGCGGCCCCGUAAGUCAGUGGUGAAAUAUCUCAGCUUAACUGAGAGGGUGCCAUUGAUACUGCGGGGCUUGAGUACAGAUGAGGUAGGCGGAAUUGACGGUGUAGCGGUGAAAUGCAUAGAUAUCGUCAAGAACACCGAUAGCGAAGGCAGCUUACUAAGCUGUAACUGACGCUGAGGCACGAAAGUGUGGGGAUCAAACAGGAUUAGAAACCCUGGUAGUCC
rnacentral:rRNA from 1 species